GAUGAACGCUGGCGGCGUGCCUAAUACAUGCAAGUCGAGCGAACGGACGAGAAGCUUGCUUUUCUGAUGUUAGCGGCGGACGGGUGAGUAACACGUGGAUAACCUACCUAUAAGACUGGGAUAACUUCGGGAAACCGGCGCUAAUACCGGAUAAUAUUUUGAACCGCAUUGUUCAAAAGUGACAGACGGUCUUGCUGUCACUUAUAGAUGGAUCCGCGCUGCAUUAGCUAGUUGUUAAGUUAACGGCUUACCAAGGCAAGUAUGCAUAGCCGACCUGAGAGGCGGAUAGGCCACCUGGGAGCGGGGACAGGGACAAGAGGACUACGGGAGGCAGCAGUAGGGAAUGGUCGGCAAUGGGCGAAAGCAUGACGGAGCAAGGCCGAGUGAGUGAUGAAGGUCUUGGGAUCGUAAAAAUCGGUUAUUAGGUAAGAACAGAUGUGUAAGUAACUGUGCACAGCUUGACGGUACUUAAUCAGAAAGCCACGGCUAACUACGUG
rnacentral:rRNA from 1 species